GGAGGAUGAGGAGAAAACGGAGACACUGCCUGUGUACUGUACUGCUGUUUGGAAUGUAAGAGGGCACAGCUGCGAUGAAAACCAGUAUAGAGUUCCUCAAAAUAUUAAAAUAGAAUUACAAUAUGAUUCAGCAGUUCCAUUUAUGGCUAUAUAUACCUAUAUGGGUGUCGUAAAGUAGCAUCGUUCUGAAGAGCCGAUAGACAGAAGAGUAUUCACAGCUGAAUACAAAAUGUGGCGCAUGCGUGCCUCUAUGUGCACGGUAUGUGCAUGCGCGUGUGCAUGCGCAUGUGCGUGCACGCGUGCACGGGUACACACAAGGGCAUGAGAAUAAGAAAGUUUUUUGAUGCUGUAAUAAAAUAUCCAGGCAAAAGCAACCGACGGGAGGAAAGGGUUGUUCUAGCUGACAGUUCAAGGUUACGCUCCAUCACAGCAGGUAAGCCAUAGCAGUAGGAGCUUCAAGAAGCCAGUCAUAUCACACCCAUAAGCAGGAACAGGGAGCAGUGAAGGUACGCAUGCUCACGGCUCAGAGGGCUUUCUCUGCGUUCACACAGUUCAGGUGCACGGUAUUAAUCACAGUGGGCGAGGAUUCCCACCUCAACAAACCACCUUAACAGAAGUGAUCACAGAACAAUCUUAUCUAGACCAUGUCUCGUUGAAACUCUCUUCCCAGGUGAUGCUAGAUUUUGUCAGGUCCACAACACUAAGCAUGGGUUAAGAUGUCUGGUUAAGAUGUCUCAUCUGAUAAUGGCACUUGCUAUCAAGCCGGAUCACCUGAAUCCCAUCUGCAGGACCCACAUGGUGAAAUAGGAGAAGCAGUUUCUACAAGUAGUCUUCCGAUCUCCACACAAGCAACACAUACACACAUACACACACACACAACACACGCACACACGCACACACACACAUACACACACAAUAAAUAAAUAAAUGCACUAUGAAAACAAAACAAAACAAACCUCUAAUCAUUCCACUGUGGUAGUCUGCCUUAACAAGGAAGGAAAGUCUAACUACUUUAUCCUAUAGAUGAGUCUUGAAGACAGCAAACUAAGUGAAAUUGACCAGCCCCAAAAAGCCAUAUACUGUAGGAUUCCAUUGAUAUGAAGUAGCUGUGUAGACAAAUUCAAACAUAUAGGGAGAAUGAUAAUUGCCAGGAGCUGGGGAAGAAGGGAACUGGUUUUUUGUUUGUUUGUUUUGUUUUGUUUUAUAAAUGGCUACAGCAUCUGUUUUGCCAAGCCAGGAGUUUUGGAUAUGGCGGUGGCACUGAUGGUAAAAUAAUAUGAUAGUAUCAAAUGCCUUUGAGCUGUACAUUGAUAGUUAAGGUGAGCCAGGAGCCUUUAAUCCCAACACUUGGGAGGCAGAAGCAAGCAGAUCUCUGAGUACAAUGUCAAGGCAAAUGUGUUCUACACUGUGAGUUUCAGAUCAGCUAGAACUACAGAGUAAAACCCUGACUCAAAACAAACAGAAAACUAGUUAAGAUGGUAAGGUUUAUAGUAAGUGUAUUUCAUAGCAAUUAAUUUUUUCUUUAAAACAUUAAAUAGAAUUAGCAUAUGACACAAACAUUCUGCUCCUAGGUAUAUGUGUAUGUAUUUAUGUGCAUAUGCAUAUACACAUACACAUACAUAUAAACAGGGACUAGGUUUGGUGGCACACACCUUUGAUCCCGGCACUCAAGAGGAAGGUGAAAGUUGAUCUCUAUGAGUUCAAGGCUAGCCUUCUACAGAGUAAGUAUCAGGACAGCCAGGACUAGGCCUCAAGAACCAUCCUUUGAUGAGGUGACUCAAGACCAAAUCCUUUGGCUCAUUAGUUAAGAGUACUUGUUCUUGCAGAGGACCUGGGCUCAAUUUCCAGCACCCUCACAGUGGCUCACAGACAUCUGUAACUUCAAUUCCAGGGGAUCCAAUGCCCUCUGGUGGCCUCUGCUGGCAGCAGGCACACACAUGGCGCCUUGACAUACAGACAGACAAAACAUACAUGUGAGAUAAAAUAAAUAAGGCUAAACAUUAAAAAAAAAAAGUAAGUAAAGAACAGAACCACCCCUCGAUGUGUGAAGGAUUUAACAAACUCCGCGGUAUAGACAUAUGAUGAGGUUCUAUUUCACCACGGAAAAGAAUGACGGAUGAUGCAUGGCAAAAUACAGAUGAACCUCAGAGCACUGUGGGAAAUGAAAGAGUCAGGCACACCAGGUCGUAUACACUGUGUCUUCCAUCUACAUGCAGUGUCAAGAGGAGGCGGAUCCUCAGACACUAAGCAGUAGCUAUCAGGUGCUGUGGGUGGCAGGAAGGAGGAACAACUGCCUAGUGGGUAAGAAGUCUUAUCGUCAAAUAAAGCAAUGUGUUGAAACUAGAUAGAGCUGGCCAGACAACAUGACUGUAUUAAAUGCCAGUGAGCUAUUCAGCUUAGAAUAGUUAAUUUUAUGUCCUGAGAAUUUCAUCUUGGCAACAGCAAUGGUGAAAUCCCUCAGAAGAUGAAGUCCAGGACAAGCCGCAAACAGAAUAAUUUGCCUUAAGGUAACUGAGAGUUACCUUCAAUACCCUGCUUGGAGUCGCUUACACAGGAUCAUUUUGAAGUGAAGGUAAUUAAGGUGGUCAGCAGGAGACAGCAAACGGGUAUUCUGAGACGGCAGCUCCCUAACACUGACAUUUUGGGUCCGUGAAGUAGUAUUACUUUGUCUUAAGCAACAAGAUGCAUCCUUCCUGCCGCUCUGCUCGGCAACAGGGUCCCCUUUUGUUAAGUACCAAUGACAGGUGGUUACUUACUUUAUGACUGCCAGGGGGAUGCUUUGGUUUUAAUGAUUUUGCUUUAUAAAAUAGAUUUGGAUCCAAAGAACACCGACAUUACCGACACACUCACUGUGGUCCGGCUCUAAUGGCUAUUGGCAAAUGGGGCCCCAAGACGAAACUACUCUCUGUGGCUCUUAUAGCCCAGACACAGCUGCCAUUUCCAGUUGGUGCUCACUGCUAUCUAGGGACCCAGGUAUACAGCUUGGAACAUCAGAUCUAAACGCGUGAGAAGACUCAUCUCCCAACACUGCUGUCUCCCUACUGGGCCUGGCUUCAUGUGGGCACCUGCAGGUUCCAACCUACAAGGCAGUGACCAUUGCAUCGUGAAAGUGGGUAGCACUGACCAACUAAGGGGCAGCUGCCCUUCCCAGAUCUUCUGAGAUAACCACACAUCUGUGCCACUCCCCUCAGGGCCACCAUGAACCUUUGGUCUACUCUUACCUCCUCCUCUGGGGUAAACACUCCCAGUCACCUUUCAAAGUUUAUUUCUUACAAAACUCCAUUUCCAUUCCUGCCCUACCCUAGGUUCUCUGUGGCUCCCAGCAUUUCUCACAGAGUGGAGCUAGGAAGGAAGUGUUCUAGUGAACUCUGCUGAGGCCCUGCCUGUUCAUCGCACAUUAUUCUCUAUUAAUACAGUGGAAGAAGAGCAGUCAAGGUGGUUGGCUUCCUCACAACUCCACUGUUUAGUCUUAGAUCACACUGUUCUCAGGUUGUGUCAACCCAUGGGCACCCUUCAAAACUGUCACCUUGAAAGACUCAGUCCACUGUUCCAGCCUGUUGAGAUAUUUAUGGUCCCUAAGCCAUCGAUGAAUCCAUUCAUCGCCGGCAAACUUGAGAAGCCUGACCUAGGGACACUUUUCUGAAACAGGCCUCAGCCACGUCCCAGUUACCAUGACCUGUGAGCAGCAGUCUCUCCAAGUUUGGUUGUACCAGGGUACAGUCAGGGAAGGUAUGCCACUGGCCCACUUUCCUGGUCAGGUUCCUCUGGGUGACUCUGACACAGGAAUCUCAUGAGAACCCUUCUUUGAAUAGAGGUAAUCCAGUGGGCAUCACACAUAGCAAGCCAUCAAAUGUGUGUUUAUCACUACAAGACACACUUUACUGAGGAGGAGGUUUUCCUAGUUCCCCGCCCAGCGGCCAAGUGGCCUUCAGUGCAUACAUAUACUACGCAGCUGAAGUGAACAGAAGGAACUCAAGACACUCAACGCUAGGGCCUGAAUCCCAGUGCUCUUACCUACUGACGUGACCAGACCUGUCUCUCCAGGGCCAGAGGGAGGAGUGUUGAGAUCUGGCACAAGGAAAACAGGCUUAAAUGUUGAUGCUGGGUGGUGGCACAUGCCUUAAAUUCCAGUACUCAUGCCUUAAAUUCCAGAGGCAGAGGCAGGCAGAUCUCUGAGAUAGAGGCCAGCCUGGUUUACAGAGUGAGUUCCAGGACAGCUAGGGCUACACAGAGAAACCCUGUUUCUAAAAACAAAAACAAAAAACCAAAAAACUUAAGCAGACAUAAACAAACAAUUCUAAGAUCGUGACUAAAGAACUUAGAAAUAACAACAAAAAUACCAUUUCUACCCAGUGUUUGGCCACCUGCUUGUCAAAUCAAGGAGGGACCUGGAAAUGAGGACAGGGCAGCCAGAGAGCUGCAAGGAAACAGCUCCUCUCCCCUCCUCCGGCUCCUUUCCUGGAAACAGUUGUUUCUUAGGAAGACUAGGCCCUAAUCUGGCCUAAGGAGAAGGGACAGGGCCUCUCCCAGCCCACUUGCCAAGGAGCCCCUCAGCCUUCAGAAGCACACUGUCCAUUACCUUCUUCGUUGAGACCAAGACCUAUGCAAUUAGCACAGUCUGGCAGGUUGUGUUCACCUCCUGUGUACCAUGGUCCUCACAAGCCCCCAGGCUUCUGAAUGGGUUUUCUAAGAACAGCAGCUCUGGGUUUUUGAUGUGGUCAGGGUGCCCACCUCCCGUCCCUAACACCUUCAGGAAAGGAAUGACCUUCAAUAUGAAAGGACCUGGGACACAUUUUGCAAAGGGUUGUCAGAAGCCACCUGCUGGCUCCUAGUGGCAUAUCUAUGUCAAAGAUACUCUCCAGUGGAGGAGCAGAGACUGACAGAACUGGUACAGCCAGCCUCGGGCCCUUGGGAAAAGGGUAGUGGUUACAACGGGAGGCAUUGGGUGGCAUAAGUAAGACCGCCUGCUCUCAUCUACCCCAGGCUGGUCUCCUAACGUCCAAGGAACACAAGGGCAGAAUAAACACAGACACACAGACACAGACACACACACACACACACACACACACACACACACACACACACACGCACACACAAUUGUUGACAAAACACUAAGAAGAUUCUAUCAGUGAAUCUGUGAGCAGAUUAGGGAAUUUGACCAGAAAGGUGCUGGUAGAAAGAGGCCAAGAAAGCCUGCCUGAUAAUUUUAGGCAUCCCACUGGUCUAUAAGUUGUUCUUGUCUAGCUCCCUCUGUAUAAAUUUCCCUUAAGACCAAUGGGAUGAUGGGAUCUCUAAAGUCAGAAUUAUGAAGUUAUCUUAGACAUUCAUGGCCACAAUGGGCUUUUCCUAUGAUUUUAAAAACACAUGUUACUGGGAUUUUUUUGUUUGUUUGUUUGUUUGUUUUGCUUUGCUUUUGUUGUUGUUCCUGUUCCCCAUGCCUCGGCAUGGCUAUGGGAACACGCCCACAGAAGACUAACUCUUCGUCAGGAAGGUCGACUGCAUGGUGUUGCUGAGGCUGCUGCCACACUUGAGACAGAACCAGGUUAUGGGUUGAACAGUGUCCCACCACUCACAUGUUAAGUCUCUAGUUAUCUAGUCCCUAAGAGUGUAACCAUAUGUAGAGCCAGGUCUUGAAAGAGGCCAUUAAGAAAUGGUCCUAAUCCAAUAGGACUGGAGUUCUUAUUCUAAAAGGAUGGGGCACCAAAGACUCAGCGGCUGCACCUUGAGAAGGCAGCAAGCCUGGUACGGCCAUCUGUAAGGCCUCGGGGCAUACCAGCCCUGUUGGCACCUCCAUCUGGAGUCCAGUUCCUAGAACUGUUAGGAAGUGCGUUUCAGGUGUUUAAACUACACUCUAGUCCUAACCAAUGCAACUGGUUGGCUCUGAAGCCGCUCACAUUUACCUUCCUGGAGUGUAGGCAACUCCUCACAGCCCAACUGCGCUGUCUGGUCCACUCAAAGGUAGAGUGAGGCCAAAAUGGGGUACAACUAGAUGUUGUUUUCCAGCAGAUCCUGCUGCUCUGCCAUCCUGUGCUGAGGGCAUGGAUGACACAGAGCAAAUGGCUCCUAGCCACAGACUGCAAGGAGCCAACUCCUUUAAUCAACUUCCUUUCCUGGUUUACCUCGUACAUGGACAGGUUCUGAUUAACCCGAGUAUCAUUGAUGUGGUUCCAGAGAAAGACAAGUCUGUGGAGCAAGUGGAUUCAUGACCCAGUAAGAUAGGCACCGACACUCUCACUAGUUUGAUGAACCCACAUUAAGCAUCUGGCCCAAUGUUACCACCGCUGGGGACUGACAGUCUCUAGAUUCCAUCUGCCCCCAUGUUCUGUGGAACUCCUGGAUCCUGCCAGUCCCUGGUUUGGGCAGAGCCACUCUCAAGGCAAGAGAGGUAGACUCAGUGGUUCACUGCCACUCUGGAACCAGACACAGCUGCAGCAAACAGUGGAUAUGUCUCUGUGCUACCUAUAGGAGGAAGAACCGAAGUGAGAAAGGAAUAUAUAAGCAGGUUGAUGUCUGCAGGGGCUCCAAGAGUCUACAAGACACGAGCUGAGAGGCACCUUGACAUGUCCCCAUGUGGCAGGUGCAAGGGUCUGGCCAUACAAAAGGCCAAACUCUGAAAAAGAACAACUUGGGGACAUUUCAGCAUUGCUGCCACGUCUCCAUUCCAACACAAAGGCCUGUAAUGCCCCCUCCACGUCUCUCUUUAUUCACAUUGGCCAAAAGACUAUUGGCAUAGUGAGCUCGGAGACUCCAUUAUUAUAGAUGGCUACUACGCACAGACCCAACACACACUUCAAACCACAAGCCUACAAAAGACGGGCCUCAUGCACCCCUACCAACCUGACAGAGAGGGGAAGGAUAGGGCUCCCUCCUAUAAGCUGAAUUGGGGGUAGAAUGGAUCUAAUUAGAACAGAAUUUCCUUCAUCUUUCUAUUUUUAUUUGUUUGUUGAGACAAGGUCUUAAUCUGGAGCCCCUGCUUGCCUGAAACUUGCUUCGCAGAUGCGGCUGGCCUUGAACUCAUAUGGAUCUGCUGACUUCCGAUCCCUACCUCCUUCCCCAGAUGUUGUAGUUAAAAAGAAUGCAUCACAACACCUGCCAGGACAAAGUUUCUUCACCACACACUAAAGCCAGUUUGCCAAGCGUGGAUGGAGCAACAAGCAGGUGAAGGUUUGAUGGCUAACUCUGGGCCUGACAUUCCACUCCUCGGCUCCUGCAUUAAAGCUUGGGUCAGAAGGUAAAAGAUCUGAAGCAGGAGGCCAGCCUUGUCCUUACAUUCUGCAAGGUUAGAGGAGACCAAAAAAAUUGAUACUUUUAUAUGGAUGUGUGAAAUGUGGAAAAGAAACUAUAGCCCUAAAAUGGCUACAACAACGUCCAGCUUCGGCUCAACGACGGUGCCUACUACUCUGGAAAUUUCCAUUUCGACUGUCCUUUCUCAGGGAAGAGUUGGGGGGAAAGUGGAAUUUGGACCCCCUUGUGUGAUGAAAGCACCCUAGCUUCUCUGAAGUCCUUCCACAAGCCGGCCUGAAUGAGCUCUGUUUGCUGCUUUCUUCCUCCCUUUUGAUUUGUUUAGUUUAAAAUAUUUAGCCGGCUGCACAGUGAAGAGUCUCAUUUCCAGGGUUCUCCUGGACCAUUAGGCUGGGACUCCACACUCAUGCUGAUGAGCGUUCUACUUACCCAUGCAAAUCCCGGGAGUAGCAGCCUGUGCGAUGGGAGGUGCUCUAGGUAAACCGUCAAGAGCUGAUUUAAUUUUGCAGCGAUUCAGUGGGCAAGGCAGAGCAAUUUUUUAGGCAAAGGUUCUAGUAAAUAUUAUGGAAAACCCUUUUUAUAGAGUGCUAAUUCUGGCACAGCAUUUUCCUACGUGCCCGGUUUCUGCUCUCAUUCAAACCUGCCUGGGAGUCCUCAAGGCAGGAUAAUCUACACAGAUCACGUGUGAGGGAGCGUGUCAUUGGGCAGUGGCUGGCUGGUAUCCAUUCUUUACAGUGCUGUCAACAUCUCAGGAUUACAGUCAUUUCAGUGGGGACAAACUCUCCAACCCAGGAACUUCCCUUCUGCCAUCCUUCCGCCAGCCCAUCCCCCAUGACCCUGAAACUUGCCAACUGGCUCCUGGACAGGCUGCAGGUCACCAGAUGACACCGCUCCCGUGAGUUUGACAAAACAAGCACAGCAAACUCCUUUUUAGAGGUCUGAAACAAUACCCAACCCUUUCUGGGCGUCCUCACUUUCAUUUUAAGCCUCUGCCACUGCCACCGUUUGUGACAACCCAGAGAAAACAACUCAACCUACGACGAACGCCGGGGGACCUGCCAUCGGGGCGGCUGGGGAGUACUAUCAAGUGACCUUUCAGGGAAAUUAAUUUUCAAGAGCGAUAAUGGCCUUUGCUGCACAUACAUCCAGCACUACUUCUGUCAGCGCAGAAAAGGAUUUCGCUCUCUACAGUUGGAACAGAAACUCUCCUACAUCCCCGUUUCUUUAAAAAAAAAAAGGCUAUAAAUAACCCAGGAUCAGCAAAAUUAUGCAAAACAGCCUGCUAGAGGAAGAAAUGUAAACUAAACCCACUUACAGAACGACUCGGGCUGCCAACUUAAUCUGAUGCUAUGACGAAUGUAAACAUGUUGUACUUUUGAAACCUGAAGUGAUCCACUUUAGUACAGAUGCCAUCACAAAAAUGAGAGAGAGAGAGAGAGAGAGAGAGAGAGAGAGAGAGAGAGAGAGAGAGAGAGAACUCCGAAACAAGGAAACAACAAAAGCCCAGCCGCAAAACAGAGCAACCUGAUUCCGUAUUCUGCACAGUGCACGACCCGACGGCUGAUCGGCUGCAGGAGAAGUCUAGCACCGCUGCCCUCUAAGAGGAUCCAGCCAGCAGCUAACUCGGACAGAUGCAGACACCCACAGCCAAAGGGUGGAUGGUGUUUGGGGAUUCUUCUGGAAGAACAGGGGGAUGGAUUGUAAGCCCUGAAGGGCCUAGGAACUCUACAGGAAGACCAGCAGAGUUAAUUAACCUGGACUCUUGGGGCUCUCAGAGUCUGAACCACCAACCGACAUACCCACAGGCUGAACCUAGGCCUCCCCACACAAAUCUAGCAGAUGUGCAGCUUGGUCUCCCAGUGGGUACCGAACAACUGGAAUAGUAGGAGCCAUCCCAACAGCUGUUACCUAUGCAGGGGAUCAAGUCCACACCCUUAUGCACACACCAGCUAAACACUCCGUGUCUGAGCUAUCCAGCCCCUUACUGUACUCUUGUCCCGGAGCACCUGAGGAUCUCGGUCACAGGAUGGCGGCCAUCCAGUAAUCAAUCCUCAAGGAAACCGAGGGACACUGCACUUUGAACCCUUUUUAAGUUGGGAUUGAGGCAUUUCUCGCUGUCAGACUGUCUUUGGGCCCUCCAACUGGCAUUUUCAAACUGUUGACACUCGACUACUUUACAAGAGAAAGCUUGA